rnacentral:rRNA from 1 species
UGGGGGAUAUUGGUCAAUGGGGGAAACCCUGAACCAGCGACGCCGCGUGAGGGAAGAAGGUUUUCGGAUUGUAAACCUCUGUCCUCGGUGAAGAAAAUGACGGUAGCCGAGGAGGAAGCUCCGGCUAACUACGUGCCAGCAGCCGCGGUAAUACGUAGGGAGCAAGCGUUGUCCGGAAUUACUGGGUGUAAAGGGAGCGUAGGCGGGGAAGUAAGUUGAAUGUUUAAACUAUCGGCUCAACUGAUAGUCGCGUUCAAAACUGCAUUUCUUGAGUGAAGUAGAGGUAGGCGGAAUUCCUAGUGUAGCGGUGAAAUGCGUAGAUAUUAGGAGGAACACCAGUGGCGAAGGCGGCCUACUGGGCUUUAACUGACGCUGAGGCUCGAAAGCGUGGGUAGCAAACAGG